AUUUUGCACUAGGAACUCGGUCUGAAAUUCCGGGAGGAGGCCUCUGCGUGCGGCACCCUGUGAUCCAGUGAAACUAGACUAAGCACAAACCGAGAAAUGAAGGUUGUCUUCAUAUUCAAGAAGAGGAAAUUAUGCAUAUCAUGUACCCUAGAGGAGAGAAAUCCCGGAGGCCACCUCAAGAGUUAAUGUCCUGAUUCAGUAAGAAAUGACCAGAGAACUCCAAAACAAUUUGAGGCAUAGAAUUGUAAAAUUCAACAGGUACUAUGAAGAUAGGUAAUGAGAGAGAGAGAGAGAGAGACAAAGAAAAAGUUUGAGAAAAUAAUCAUGUGUUUGCAUACCUAAUUUUGGAAUUCAGGGGUCUCAGCCAAGAACUCAAAAGGUAGUGGAAAAUUAUUUUUCUUCUCUACAAGGGAAAAUCCACAAAGGUGGGCAGAGAACCAGAGACAAGUUUGCCUUGAGGUAGUGUAUCUAAUAUACCUCUGAAAAUCCCAAGGCAAGAAGUUCCUGUCCACUGUUCUACAAGGGAUAAAAUCCUGUGUUUGGUGGUGAGUGAUGUUGACUUUAGGCUCAGAGCAAGAUGAGGUACAAUCUCUCCUCAGCCUCCUCUGUUUCAUUCCAUGGGUACCUGCCUGACUGAUUACGUACUCUGAAUGGAUACCUGACCAAAAAAAAUUUCAGGGCAGUUCAAUGUUUUAUGCCUCUGAUAUUGCAAUUCAUCCUGAGGUCUUAUUCCAAAAAUUAAAAAAAUAUUAUUUCCAGGUCAUUGGAACUUAAAAUUCUGAAACAGUUAAAACAAAAAGGACAAAGAAAAUAAAUACUAAUAUUCUAAAAAGCUCUUCCACAAAGGAUUUAGAUAGUAGUCUAAACUGAAUAGUCAAUGAAUGUUAACAAACUAAGAUUUAUUGAAUUAUAUUUAAGAUUGUGUUGUAUCUUUAUUUAAUUUGAUUGUACUAUAGGUUUUAACAGGUAUGUAAAUAUUAAAACAAGAUAUGCAUUGUGAAAUUGAGUAGGCUAAUGGAUUGAUCAUUUUGCCCUACCAAAUUAUUUCAUAUUAUGUUUGCCCUCAUCUCAGCAGAAACACACACAUACAUCCUACCUAUACACAGACACACUUGAUGUGUUUCAUAAAAGCCUUGAGUCAGAGCAUGCAGAACAAAUAAAAAUCCCUGUUUUUUUCUUAAAUCCUGGGGACACUGUAAAAUUUAUUAAACUUCAUUAUACUUCAAUAUGUUGUUUGUUGCAGAUUCUUCAAGAUUUGAAGGAAAAGGUGAUGAACAUUUAUUAAAUCAGUUCACUGAGCACUGAGCAAUGGCUUAAGGGAAGGUGAACUUGACCUGAAAGACAGUUUUAAAAUUAUGACCAAUUUGUUUUCUGUCUCAACCCAUCUUUGUACUAUCACGUGAUAUGACAUUAUGCAAUAUGAAGAAUUAUUAAAAAUAGCUUUAAUAUUAAGGAUUUUCUAUCUCAGCACAUAAUGCAAGAAAAAAUAUAAUUUAGCACAUACCUAUGUCCUUUGUAUUAAAAAAUUGCAGUUACUACCUAUGUAUAUGAUGUGAUACAAAAAUCAACUCAUGUGCAUAGUGUGACUGAAAACAUUCAAUGUGUGAGAUUCAGUCAUCAGCUGCCAUCUUGUAUAUAAACUUAAUCUGUCUAGUGGUUAGCCUUUAUUUUCAGACCCUGAAGUUACAUCAGAGACACUAUCUUCUGCCAAAAAGGUAAUGUCACUUGAAUUUAAAAUGAAUAUGACAUAUCUGGUUAUUACAUGGAUAUUUUAUCUGACAGUUGCUACUACCAAAUUGUGAAAUGACUGUGUGUUGAUUUUGGUUUAUGAGAAAAACAUCAUAUAGUUGUCAUGUUUGUCUUUAGUUGUGCAGUGGCUUUGAACUUGUUAUUUUUAUAAGUUUCGUGUUAAAUCGUAUUAAGUUUUGCUAUGCAUCAUUUUAUAUUUCAAAGUGAUUCCACAUAUAUUCAUAAUAAACCCUUAACUUAGAUCAUAUUAUAUCAAAUCUAAGACUACUGUGAAGCCUAAUGAGUUUGUAGGGACCCAAGCCAUAUUAUAAAAUGAAAACCUGGGAUCAGAGAGAAUUAGAAACAUCAAUAACUAUCACUUACCAGAAUUUCCCAUUAGAAUAUUUUAUGAGUGUUGCAAACUAAAGCUUGAGCUGGGCCCAGACUUCUAAACAAAUGGAUUUGUUCUAGGGAAUGAGGCAUGGCCAGUACAUUCCUUAAAUAUACAGACAUAUAAUGGGACACUUUAGAUUGUGUCAGUAAGAAAUGAGGAAAAGUAUUGCAAGAAAUAGAGAAAAUAAGGUUUAGCUAGGUAACCAUAUAGGAUGUGGGUGUUGAAAUGAACCCCAAGAGAGGGAACUCGAAAGAAACAUAAAUUAACAUGUGCAAUGGGUAAGAAAAACAAGACAGUAGGAGAAAUGGUAUAAUUUACUGAGCUGAAAAUUACUAAGGACUCAACAGAGAUCCCCUUAAGUUAGUUAAAUUUAAUACAGAAAAAAAAUUCUAAAUACAUAAAUCCAUGAAUCUGAACCUAUCUGCGUGCACCUGGCUUUUUUUUCAUUUUAAAGGAUUCUAUCAUGAAUAGGAUAUGCUGGAUUGAAAAUAAUUUUGCUGUGGUCCAAAAAUAGGCAGAGACUCUCACUAAAAACAAAUGUUAUUUAAUUGAUGGAGUUUACUUCAUUUUUGUUUAACAUACAAAAACUAAUUGCUGAUAGAACCCUAGUUUUAUAAUUCUGAUAUGUUACUUUAGGUACACUCUCUCUGUUUCACACUAUUUCACCAAAACAUGACAAUACUAAUUGUUUGACUCCACUGCAGGGGUUAUUUUCCUCAGUUUUGUAAUUCCGAUUAAUAAUAUUGUUUUAAAAUGCAGAUGUUACAAAAUAACUAUCAAAACUAUGGUCAUUUUUUGUAGCUGCAAUAAUCAGAGGUUUAAAAAGGAGAUUAGAUUGACAAAUGAUUAGUAAUUCCUCCACUUGACCCAAAGCACAUAUGUUUAACUAUAUCUUGCUAGAACAAUCGACUCAGUAGCAUUUCAUGAAAGGCAAUUUCUGUAUAUUUUUAUAUGAGGCAUACUGGGAAUGGUAAAUGGGUUCAUUCUAUCCCUCCUAGAUUUUGGGUGUCUGAUUCAGAUGAAUCAGAUGAUUAAAAUGUUCUGUAGUUGAAACUAUUUUGAAGCUACCUGUGGAAAAAUUUAAGAAGAGCAUCACUCAUGAACCAGUUAUACAAAAAUUAUUUUGGAACCCACUGCAUUUGCCCAUAAGAGUACAUCUUGAAAAGAAUUCAGGGUGGGAAAAAACAAAAAAGAAUGAGGCACUUUGCGCUUUGGAUAAAUGGGCACCUAUAUAGUUAGAUGUAUAUCUCAGGAAGAAUAUCCAUGACCCAGAUUAUUGUAUCUUCCCAUAUGGUCAUUAACAUGAGAUCUCUGUUCUUUGUAGUUAGCAGUAAUUUUUAACUAAGAUGCAAGAUGGACUACAUAUGUUUCCCAGCCAAAAAAAUUAUAUAUACACUGGUUCCUUCCUAUCUCUUCAGAGCAGUUCCUUAGAGAUACCAAGAGGCUAUAGCCCUCAGUAAAACCUGUAAAAAAUAAACUCACAACUCUCAUGCUCUGUGUUUUUCUUUGAUAUGCCAUUUUAAAUUGAGAAUACAUAAA